GAUGAACGCUGGGGGCAGGCUUAACACAUGCAAGUCGAGCGCCCCGCAAGGGGAGUGGCAGACGGGUGAGUAACGCGUGGGAAUCUACCGUACCCUACGGAAUAACGCAUGGAAACGUGUGCUAAUACCGUAUACGCCCUACGGGGGAAAGAUUUAUCGGGGUAUGAUGAGCCCGCGUUGGAUUAGCUAGUUGGUGGGGUAAAGGCCUACCAAGGCGACGAUCCAUAGCUGGUCUGAGAGGAUGAUCAGCCACAUUGGGACUGAGACACGGUCCAAACUCCUACGGGAGGCAGCAGUGGGGAAUAUUGGACAAUGGGCGCAAGCCUGAUCCAGCCAUGCCGCGUGAGUGAUGAAGGUCUUAGGAUUGUAAAGCUCUUUCACCGGAGAAGAUAAUGACGGUAUCCGGAGAAGAAGCCCCGGCUAACUUCGUGCCAGCAGCCGCCGUAAAAC
rnacentral:rRNA from 1 species